AUCCGACUCAAGUACUAACCAAAUAUAAAAGAACACAGUGAAUUUUAUUUGAGUAAUUUAAAGCACCUUCAUAAAUAUUGAUUAUGUAAGGACUGCAAUUUGUGGAGGCAAGAGAGAUUAGUAAUAUUAUGCUUACCUUAAAAACUAACACCUGGAAGUGUCUUUACCGCAGGAAUUUGAAUGCAGGGUGGAAUAACAUCUCCCAAAACAUGUUUGUUUCCCUGUGAAGAAUGUCAGAAACACCACACCAUCUUGGCAACGGCUAUUUCUGAAGAGUCUCUACACCAAGUUCAAGAUGAUUGGACAAAUUAUCCCAAAAAAGGGGGAGGUAACUUUGUGUCAACCAAAGGAAAAUAUGGAUCUGUUGCAGGAGAGGAUAUGAAAUACUGUAGAACCUUCAGGACUUCUUGA
rnacentral:lncRNA from 1 species